AGCCGUGGUGAGUGUGACAACACCGGGAAGGCCAUGCCAGGGCCCUGGACCCAAGUCUCGCCCUAGUGGAGCAGCCACGGGUCUAGACAGCACCAGUUACCAGAGAGAGGCAAGUAUUCAAGGGAUGCUUCACAAAUUAUCUUCCUCAGACCCCAACCCCCCCAACCCCCACCCCGUGGCCCUGAUCCACAGAUUCUUGGGGGAGAAACUACGAGUUGACGGCAGGGUGGUGAAGGGCUUUCUUCCAGAAAGAAGAGGAGAGCAGCGGUCUUUUCUUGGCCGUGGCGACUCAUGUCAGGUAAAAAUCCCUGUCAGUGUCCCCAGUCCAAUCUCGGCCCUGGGUUCGCGAUUGGAGGAGGAGCCGACUGGAACCGAGGUUCGCGAGGCUGAGCCUGGGGCUGUUUCAGAAUGCCAGAGGAGGUGUAGUGGGGCUUGGCAUCUGCCAAAGGUGCUGAGCCCACCACCACCAAAUUCACCAAGAGGAGGGAAGGAGGGAAAGGCGCCUGGGAAGCGACUCCGCAGCCCGUCACCUGAGUGCUCCUGGAGGGGUGCUCUACCAGCUCGAGUCGUGGGGUCGUCUAGUUCUCGCACGCGCCCGGGGGCGACGCCGAAACCCUACUUGCCGUUUGUCUGGCUCGGAACGUCGCCCCGUCGGAGGUGUCAGAGCUGCAGCCUCUGGAAUGCGCGCAGUCCGCCCCACCCCCACCCCCACCCGAUUUCCCAAGCCCCCUGCCGCCGCCUGGUCUCCCCCUCCACAAGUCCUUCAGAUUCCGAAUGCCGCCGACCUGUUGCAUGCCAAAAAAGUGGCGGAGUUGGAUGUUCCAGGCCUCUCCUCCCUGCCUUGGCCAUCACCGCCUGCCGCAAGAUCUGAGCGCCAGGAGUUCCGGGGCUCUGCCUGCAGACGCCAAGAGAGGGCCCAGUGCCGAAAAAGAAAAUGUGAGAAGUGCCGGGAGGCACUGGAUAACCAUCCAGUGCAAAAGGCUCUUCGUAUCCGCUGUGAUUGCGGCAAAGAAUCCCACUAACCCGGGGAGGGAAAAGGAGAGGUGCGGGGAUUGCGUCCGAGAGGGAGUUGGGUCCGCCAAAAAAGCGCAUCUGGUGCCAACGCGUCCCAGUCUCGCCUUUCACCCUGGCGGAGGGGUGCCUGCACUCCAGGUCCCUACCUUGGGGUUAGAAUCUGGCUGCGGAAGGCCUCCAGAUCCCCUCCACUGCUAGUCUGAGACCCCAGCUUCAGCACCAGAGGCUGGACAGCGCCCUGGCCUGAUUGCGCCUGGGUUCCCGCGCACAGCUCCGCUGCCCUAAGUCGCUCGGAUCUCACGCGGAGGCGACCAGGAGGUGAGACAGGGUUCACCGAGAAAGCAAGGGAGGGCCUCCUCUUCUCCAUUUCUCCAGGAGUUUGCGGAUCAGAUGCUAGGAAUAAGUUCUAUCUCCCUUCCACUAAGAGUAGCUGGAAAGACUUGGUGCCAAAUGCCGGCAAGGUAUGGAAGAGAAAAGAGGCGCGCCUGUAAGUGGUGAGUUUAGGGGCAAGCAGGAGACUGUGUUCUACCGGGAAUCCCAGGCGUCCAAGUCGUGUUGUCUCUGUCGCGUCCCCUCCCCCAUUUCCCUCUUUCUCUCCUUCUUCACAAUCUCCAUACGCCUUAACGCCGGUGAAUGAAGGGAGAAGAUAUUUAAGCCGAGUAAAAAGCACCUUUUAUCAGGGUUGCAAUAUUUGGGUGUAGAUGAAAUCUCUCCAAAUUGAACAUUGAGGUCCGCAUUUUUAGCCAAAUGAGCCGCAUUUUUGUAUGAGGAGCUGAAUGACAGUUUUACCAGAAAGGAAAAAGCCGAGGAGGGUAAGACAUUAUCACAAAAGGGCUAACAGAGGUAGGGGAGGAGGAGGGGGAGAGAGGACCCCCUUCUCCCGCACUAGAGUGUGGUUACCAGGCAACUAGCCCAGCCUUCCGUUGCCUUGGUUACAGUGAGCCAGAGGGGCUUUUGCCAUUGAUUAUCCAAGAGCACCUUUAUUCUUAAAAAUAUCUGCUGGGGGUCCUCUGCCUUUCCUGGUCUGGAUGUGAGUCAGAGUCAAGGCGGCUUCCGCAAAAUCCCAGGGGUUAAAAGGAAAUCUUGAGAGGUGAAUUUUUCCUUUUAAGUCAAGGUGUGUGGCAAAGCAUCUACCUUUCCACUCCUACAGUCCUUCCCACCCUCUUCCCCACCCCCUUCAGAGAGGUAAUCAUAUCCUACCCUGUCCUCUUCCUGGGAUUUACAAUUAGGGCUUUUUUUUUUUUUUUUUUUUUUUUUUUUUUUUUUUUUAAUGUGGUCCUUUAGCUGGAAGGGCUGAUUUCCCCCAAUCCCCUGCACGUUUUUCUGCAUUUAAAAUGAGAAAGACACAUUUGCUCUUCAUGGAUGAACUGGAGGGAGAAAGGAGACUGUCUAGCAGUGUUCUGGUAGGGAGAUAGGUUCUCUCCUUGGUUUGGCAGUGGAUCCUCCCUUCCUGAACACUCCUCUCAUACUGGAGGGGUUGAAUUCUAAAUCACCUCCUCCCACAGACCACACAGAAAACAGACAGGCAGAAUUGGGAUCCCUUAGCAAAAGCCACUAGCAUCACCAGCAUCUGAUUCCUCAAAAUUCUCUUCUCUUUUCUUCCUCUUCCACUUUGCCUUCAUAAUUAGCAAAUACGGCACUUCAAGCUUUGAAUCCUCUGUUCUUUUCCAUUUCUCUUGAUUGACAAAUAUUGAUUGCACUUUUUACCUGUCAGACUUCUCAGCCUGUUUUCAUUUGUAGUAUCUGGGUAGAAAAUAAUUUUACCCAUAAAUUUCCAAACUCAGCUGUACCAGUCUCAAAAUGAUUUAAAAGGAAAUCACUAGUAAGUUAAUAGAACAACUCGUAUUCUGUGCACUAUUUCAUCUAGAAUACUUCUUCAGAGCCAUGACCUUUCUCUUUAAAACAGAACCUUGUUUUAAACUGAGCUGUCUCUUGACAACACAGGCAUGGAGGAAAUCUCUGUUCCAGGCAGUAACCAUCAUCUUUAUCUUUGCUGCCCUGCAUCUCAAACACACAUAUCUUUCCUUUCCUCUUUACCUUCUCCUUCACUCAUUGCUAAUGUAAAAUUUUUAAAAUAAUCAUUAUAAUUUCAGAUUAAGUUAAAGGCCAAAAUUACCCUCCGUGGGCUGGCUAGAUAUAGUUUUGGGACAUUUACAUUGAAAUGCUUUGCCCUCACAUGUUACUAUAGAAACUUCUUUUUAGUCCAUACUAGACAGCUGGUCUGCUUUUCAUACUUUUCUUCCUAAAGAAUCGCCUUCCUUUAUGAAUUCUGUGGGGUACCUAUCAUUGAUCACAUCAAUAAUGUUCCAUAGCAACAGUAGCUUUUGUAUUUAAUUAUUUUCUUUAUGGACAAAGGGUCUUUCCUUUCAGGAAGAGAACUGAGAUCUUAUUGGCCAGAAAGGAAGAAGCAUUCUUUCACUGGUUGGUGUGUAUUGCUUUGUUAACCAAUGGGAGGAUGCCAUUUAUCCUCUUCUGACUAGCUAAGUGAGCAGGGUAACUAGAAAGAUUGAAUCUUCCUUAGUUCCACCCAGCAGCAAAGGAUGGAACUCAGGGUUCUGAGACCCAGGAUCUGCUAUGUGCUUUGGCUAAUCCAGAUUGCAUUUGACUGGCAAAGAUGAAUUUUGCUACCUAGUUAUUUGUAGCAUACUUGAACACAUCUGGAUUACACAUUAUUCUAUGAAUUUCCUUUUCAUUUAAAAAUAUAUUAUUAUCACCUCUACAAGUCCAUGCAGAUUAUUGGUAUCAGCACACCAAUGGUCCAGGGAUCUUUGUGAUUUCCCUUAGAAGUAGGGAUUUGAUGAAAACUUGGGGGGAUGAGGAUGGGAAGCUAGAAGAGGGAAGAACUUUAUUGCUAAUGAUACACAUAUAUCUCAGCUUUUGGAUUCAUUUUGUCCAACUUCAGUGUCCAUGGCAGUUUUAUUUGUUUUUCUCUUUUAAUUCUUCACAACUGCCCUUCUGGCCUGCAUUUUCAGUGACAAAUGGAAAAGCUGGAUGGAUGGAAACAAUGACCAUCUAAUUUGGUGUAAGAGAAGACCCAUAACUUCCCAGGAAGGCUGUGGCAGCAAGUAGUCCUCUUUAGGGAUGCUGGUAUUGGUCUCCACUUCUCUAAAAGGAAGGGGUAUCACCGUUCCUUUCCUUCCAAGACAGAAACCAUCUGACAACAGCCUGAGAAACUGUAAGGUAAGUACAGACUCCCUUGGUCAGUCUUUUCUUGUUCUUGGCUGAAGGGAUUGCUGGGAAUGGACAGAUGCUUGACCAUGACAGUGUUAUCAAGAGGCACCUCUUUGAGAGACGCCAUCUGUGCCAGGGUUUGAGUAGGACCAUGACUAGAUAAGAAGCCCUUCAAUAUUAGGGGUUGUCAUGUAUAUCUUGGAUUCUAUGGAGCUUAGUCAUGCUUAAGGUAGGGGCUCAGCAAAUAUUUGAACUAAAUCCUAUAGGCUAAUGUUAGGACAAGUCCCUUAACUUGCUUUUUAUGACAAUGGCAGCUCUAACCCUACACCCUCCCCUGCUCCUCUCUUCCAAAAGCUUCAUAUUCCCUACCUCUCUUCAGAAAAGAUAAAUGAAAGCUCAUUUAAUUGUUACUAUGGUUACAUGGAGUGGCCACACUGAGGAUCCCUAUCACCCCUUACUGUCAGAAGGAAAAAGAGAGGAGGGGUUUGAGGAUCUUUGUGGAGGAGGAAACCAUGGAAACAAGCGUUGCUAAGGGGAUGGCUCUAAAUUCCAAGGAAAGAAACUAGGUGUGGGGAGAGGGAUUUUGUGGGCUCAAGGGCAGGUCAUUUUUUUCAGGGUACAUAUCUCAGAUUAGAGCAGACUCCUUCACUUCUUGUAUCUUCCUCCAACCCACAUACAACCCAGAGUUAAAAACAACUGGGGUCCCUGUCAGGCUCAAGUCCAUCUUCAUUGGUACUGCAAGGGAAAAACAAAUAUGACAAUGGAUUUAUUGUAUUCACACCUCAUAAUUAUAUUCUAUCUCUGAACUCUCCCUCUUUGCCAGUUUCAAUUACUAUGAACCAUGCCCUCUGCUAGGCACAGGGAUUUAAUCAUCAGAAAAAGAGUCCCUGGCCUCCUGGUAAGUUGAUAGCAGGACAGCCACUUGAUGGCUUUGGUGUCAGUGUUGCUCACAGGGUUGCUCACAUGUGCUGGACUGGACAGUCCUGCAUGGCAGCAUCAAGAAGGCGGAGUUAGCAUCUUGAUGGGGCAUGGAGAGAGGAGGUCCCAACAGCCUCCUGGGGAGGGUGACCCCUUCUCUUGCAACCUCACAGAAGAACAUCUCAGCGUUCUCUGUGGCCCACCUGUCCACAGGUGACAGCUGGAAGGGGCUGGGCCACCACACUGGGUGCUGCCAGGCUGCUCCACAUCCCUCUAACCUCCAGUUCCUCUGAGCCAACCCUUCCCCACUCUGGGUGGAGGGAACAAGCCCAAGGAUGGAGGGUUGAGCUACAGAGGAAGAGUUUGUAAUUAAAAAGAGAAAGAAUUAAAAGCAGCACCAAUAGGGAAGGGUAAUUAUCCUUCAGCUGCUGCAGAAAUGCAAUUAGGGCCGCGCUCCCUGAGCCGCCAGGAUAUUGUGGCUUUGGCUAAUUAAGAAGCGGAUAUGCCCUGCCAGCGCAAUUAGAGGCCCACCGGGCAGAGAGGCCCUUGCCUCUCCUCCUUCAGGGCCCAGGCCUGGGGAAAUUAAGCCAGGAGCCCACGGCUGGGCCUGGCUGGGGUGGGGGCGGGGCGCAGGGUCAGGGCUCCACCCUCUCCCGGGCCGCAGCGUUUACCCUCUUCCUCUCCUCUCUGUUCUGCUAGGUCCAGUACCCUACCCCUACUUCGUUCUGAGUUGUGGCUCGAACAGUACUUCAUGAUUACUGAAGAAAGGAGAGAAAGGAGCCACCCACCCACCUCCUCCUGUUAAAAAUAAGAUCCCCUUAUCAUUCAGAAAGUAUGUUCACUAUAGAAAAUUGAAGACUCGGAAGAAAAGAAAAUAAGGCAACAACAUUUCCCCCGCCCCCCUGCACCUCCCUCCCCACCAAACCGAGCAAAGGCUCCGCAGAAUUCUGGGGUGGGGAGAGGUGGUGGGAGGAGCUGGGCUUGGCAGUGGGGGCAGGGACACAAGUUGGCCUCUGGGGAGUGUUGACCGCUUAGAGGCAGGAGGACCCGAGGACACCGAACACCUGGCAGAAUGGGCCAUGGACAGCCAGCCCCA
ensembl:lncRNA